rnacentral:rRNA from 1 species
CGAACGCUGGCGGCAGGCUUAACACAUGCAAGUCGAGCGCCCCGCAAGGGGAGCGGCAGACGGGUGAGUAACGCGUGGGAACGUACCCUUUGCUACGGAAUAGCUCCGGGAAACUGGAAUUAAUACCGUAUGUGCCCUACGGGGGAAAGAUUUAUCGGCAAAGGAUCGGCCCGCGUUGGAUUAGCUAGUUGGUGGGGUAAUGGCCUACCAAGGCGACGAUCCAUAGCUGGUCUGAGAGGAUGAUCAGCCACAUUGGGACUGAGACACGGCCCAAACUCCUACGGGAGGCAGCAGUGGGGAAUAUUGGACAAUGGGCGCAAGCCUGAUCCAGCCAUGCCGCGUGAGUGAUGAAAGGCCUUAGGGUUGUAAAAGCUCUUUUCACCGGAGA